CGCAGAACCCAAAUGGGCUUUGUUGCCAAGGUGGCAUCAUGGCAAAUACAACGCUAAAACAAUACAGUCAAGCCCCAUGAACUGCUGGAUUUGGAUCCUUACUGAGCUACGAGUGAGUAAAAGCUGAUCAAACACUUCAGGAGCUAGCUGCAACAGAUAAAUAAAGGUUUCCUG
rnacentral:lncRNA from 1 species